CUGGACAGAGUGCUUAAUUUCUCUGGACAGACUGUUUCUGCUGCAUUCAGGUCCUGUGUUCCUUCCUUCACAACAGCUGAGCACUGCUAAAUGCUGGGCAGGAUUUGAGGAUCACAGCCUUGAAACAGACAAGUUGUCUUCAAAGAGUUUCUGUUGGAGUUUUGGGGAAGGCAUAAACAUUAAAUAUCAAUAAAUAAGAGUCUAAAUCGGUUGUAAGUGCUAUGAAGAAAAUGAAUACAGUAAUAAAGCAGUCUUUCAGACUUUUUGGACAAAACUCCACUGCAACAAGUGGAUACUUACUGUUAUAUACAACAUAUUAUAUAUACAGCAUAUUAUUGUUGAAACAAGCCUCACAAAACAACACUUAUCUGUACCAUGUGUGGUAUACUGCCAUUUUCUUUUCUUUUGUUUGUUUCCAAAUCCUUGACCUGGGUGUCACUGCCAUUUUCAGUAAAUGCUGUACACACAGCAACUCAAGGAAAUUAUGCUGAGUGGAAAAAAAAAAAAA